GGAAGUAAAAAUCGUAACAAGGUUUCCGUAGGUGAACCUGCGGAAGGAUCAUUAGUGAACGCCCUCACGGGCUUAUAACUAUUCCAAACCUCUGUGAACCGUGCCCUUCGGGGUUAUUUUACAAACAUGGUGUAAUGAACGUCAUAUAUCAUAACAAAACAAAACUUUUAACAACGGAUCUCUUGGCUCUC
rnacentral:misc_RNA from 1 species